UUGAAGAUGUACUAAAGCUAAUUAACAAUAGAAAGCAAAUAAUUUAAAGAUGAGUAAAUCAAUAAGAGAAAAGCUUCUAGUUGAAGUAUGGAUCUAUUUCAGAUUGUUUAGAAUUGAUCAUUGAUUCUUUAACGCUCCUAUUUAUUCCAAUAAAUUAGUUUAGGAUGUGGAAGACGCUUCUCACAAUCCAAAUUCCUCCUUAGUUCUAGUUUGAUUAGGAAACGCUCACUAAUCAAACACUAGUUAACAAGUUGCCAAGGAACGUCCUUGGGGCUUUUAGCAUCGAACAACUGUUAACUGCAUUAAGACUUAGAGAAACCUAAUUCUAACCUUGCCAACCGCGUGGUCAAGUUUAGAUUAUGCAACUUGAUUAAAUGUGUGUUUAAAUAAUCUAAGCAAUUAUGGACCUAAAUUAUUCAAACAAUUGUUACUCAAGCAAUUAAAAGCAAUAGGCCUAAAUUGAUUCUAAAAGCAAAGCAACAAUUAUAGAAAGGUCAAAUAGCAUAAAUAUUGAAAAUAAAUAGAAGUUUAACAAUGGAGAUUUAAAUCUCCCAAUUCAUCACAAAUCUGAAUUUUCCAACUUCAACUAGAAAAGAAAAGUGUUUAGCCACUCAUGGUGGAUAAAAUCACAAAAGAAAAGAAGAAGAAAAGGAGACAAGCUGCUGUAUUUUUCUGCAGAAUUGCUGAAGAUGAGAUGAAGAAGAAAUGCCUCUUGCUGGUUUGGAGGCUGCCCUUUUAUAGCUGAAGAAUUCCAUCCUUCUAGGGUUUUGAAAUCCCUUUUUAAUUUGGCUUGUGAUUCCUCUUUUGAUGUUGAAUUUAAUUGCAACUGGAAUUCCUUAGGUGAGAAACUCUUUCGUGGCUCUUGGAAUUGUGUUGGUAGUGAUUGAGUUGGAUUUGGACUUCUGAAAAUUUGAAAUUCGGUUUCCUGCUGUUUUCUCGCCUCUGCUGUCAAUUUCUGCUGUCAAGGUGAUUUGGGCAGAUCACUUGCUCGAUCUGCCCCAAUCGCUCUCUGGGAUUCAGUCCAGUUUCUGUCUCUGUGAGUGAUUUGGCCAGUCUCUACGAGUGAUUUGGGCAGAUCACUUGCCCAUAUCACUUCUGCCUGUUGCCUCCAGGUUUCUGCUUCAGCUUGAUCUGGGCAGUG
rnacentral:lncRNA from 1 species